rnacentral:rRNA from 1 species
CCUACGGGGGGCAGCAGUGAGGAAUAUUGGUCAAUGGACGAGAGUCUGAACCAGCCAAGUAGCGUGAAGGAUGACUGCCCUAUGGGUUGUAAACUUCUUUUAUAUGGGAAUAAAACGUUCCACGUGUGGGAUUUUGUAUGUACCAUAAGAAUAAGGAUCGGCUAACUCCGUGCCAGCAGCCGCGGUAAUACGGAGGAUCCGAGCGUUAUCCGGAUUUAUUGGGUUUAAAGGGAGCGUAGGUGGAUUGUUAAGUCAGUUGUGAAAGUUUGCGGCUCAACCGUAAAAUUGCAGUUGAAACUGGCAGUCUUGAGUACAGUAGAGGUGGGCGGAAUUCGUGGUGUAGCGGUGAAAUGCUUAGAUAUCACGAAGAACUCCGAUUGCGAAGGCAGUUCACUGGACUGCAACUGACACUGAGGCUCGAAAGUGUGGGUAUCAAACAGGAUUAGAUACCCGAGUAGUC